CAGCAAGGGAGUUACCAUGGAAACGGGGCAGCAACUCUCCAACUGACAGCUGCAACACUGCGUCUCUCGCUUCUGUUUUCACCGUUUUCAGGAGUAACACUUCUGCAACAGAAGAGACGUUCCAAGAUAUCUAAAUUUCUGAAGGAAGCUGCUGACAGAGAUGUGGGAAACAUAGACACUAUAAGACACUACUCACCCCUCUCCUCCAUUGACUGGUCUUGAGGUUACGAUCUCCUCGUAACUCCGAUCACCUACCCGUGGAUCAUCUGCCUUUGUUUGGACGGACGCCCUCCUCGAGUUCGUACAGCCGAGAGGGGAAAGAAACAAAAGACUAUUGCUUAAGUUGAUGGAGCUUCA